GCAGCUCCAAACCUAUGAACCUCUGGGCUCGGCACUGAUAUCAUGCUUCAGGACGCUGGCAGCCUUAAAGGCCACGGUUUCCUGCGUUGGCUUCACGCUCUCCAGCGUACAAAAGGUUCACCGGUUGACCCUUUAAAGUGGUUUGCACAGCAGCCACCGCUGUGCAAACCAUCUGCUCUUACUUUCAGAGAUCACACGGCGGGCUGUGUUUUGUUGUGGCAAAGCAGCUCCGCCUUCAUCUCCUGCUUCAGUGCCUUGCUUGCGUGUUCGUGCUCACCUUUUGCUCCGUGUGAAUGGCGGUGAGGUUUGGCUUCCUCUGCCUGCCUUGCGUCUGUGCAGGUCCACAAAUUCCCUCGGUUCCCCUCUUUCAUCGCUGCUGCUUUUAGCUUCUCCAAGGCUGGACUUGAUUAUUUACAUACUGCUGCACCAACUCCCACUCACGAGACGCUUCUGUGACUGACAGGACGCGACAAGGCCUCCGGCUUUGACACCGCCAUCGCCUGAGCAACAACGACGAGAGAGAGGCAGCGUGCGUCCAUCCCUCCUCUGGCUCGGCCGCCUUUGGAACCAGAAAACUGUGAACAGAGUAAGAGCUGGCCUGAGGGAGCUGAGAAGUGAGUGUGAAACAUGGACAGAAUGGAACAACUGGCUUGGAGGUGAUCGCAGGAAGCUGUGCAGUGCUGUCCAUAUCCACCAGAUGGAGACAGUCUACUGAUCAUGGACUCAAAAUCCCAGCAACCCUUAGUAUAGUAUACUAGAGUACUGGAGAUGUAUGAAUCUGUGGUCCAAAUGUAAAACAGACGCAGGGUUUGCUGUUCUAAUGUCCGACCAGAUGAAGUGAACCCGAUUGGUUGGUGGAAACAGGGCGCUUCCGGUAAAGAGACAAUUGCUGGUGUGUUUUCAGAAAUCAUCAGAGGCACCUGUAAGAUACAGAAGACGUGGAAAUACAUCACAAUUUACAAAAUGAUCUCUGAAGCGGACGCGUCUAUUAAAAGCAGAUGCUGAAAUAAUAAAGAA